GAAGGACUCUUGAGAGUAAGGGUUCUAAGCUAAAUAGAAAUAAGAUGGAAUAUACGUAUUACGAGUUUAGCUCUCAUAGAAGGAAUAGAAAUAAGGUUCAAUUGGAUGGUGUUUUGGUUUCAAAAUGCAACCAAUUUAAAAAUUUAUGUUAUGUCAUCCAAAAGAAUGGAGUGAUAAGUGAGAAAGUAAUUCAUAGGAUCGAAACAUGAUGCAUGAAAUAGAGGAGUGUGACAGUGUGCUAAGCGACCAUAAGAUCCUUCAUAAAGUGAAAGAUAAGUUGUAUAGAAUUGUGAUUAGAUUAGCUAUAUUAUAUCGGAAUGAAUGUUGGGUAUCUAAAGUAUGAGAUAAGAGUGUAGCAAAAAUGCGAAUGUUAAAAUAAAUGCCUAGUAACAGAAAAUGGAUAGGAUUAUGAAUCAUCACUUUUGCUAGAAAGUGUACGUAGCACACUUUGGGGAUAAAAUGAGAGAG
rnacentral:misc_RNA from 1 species